rnacentral:lncRNA from 1 species
ACCGGGGAAAAGAGGACGACGCGGACCGACCACAACCCUGCUUGUUUUUUUUUCCGGGAACGAGGGCCGAGGCAUGGCAGGACUCUGGGCCGACUGAAGAGGACGAGGGAAUCUCGAGCGGGGAAAGUGUUACAAGGACCGGCGAAGCAGGAGGGUCCCGCUUGCCUGAUUCAACGGAGGUGAAUAUCCAGGAAGCAGUAUGAGCCAGAAAGGAUCCAUAGGCAGCCACUCUGGCUCUGCAAAUGGCAGCAUGGGUAAAGGAGACGGUGCUGGCAAAAUGAGUGCAAAAGAU